rnacentral:rRNA from 1 species
CUUAAGUUCAGGAUGAGGGGUAGGUGGAAUUUUCAAGGGUAAGCGGGGAAAAUGCGUUAGAAAUUAGGAAGGAACCACCAGUGGCGAAGGGCGACCCUCCUGUACUGUAUAUUGCCACGGGGCGGCGAAAGCGUUGGGGGGCAAACCAGGAAUAGAUACCCUUGUAGUUCACGCCGUUAAACGGAGAUCAAUAAGCCGUAGGAGGCCUCGAGCCUUUAGUGGUGCAGCUAACGCAUUAAGUUGUCCGCCUGGGGAGUACGGUCGCAAGACUGAAACUCAAAGGAAUUGACGGGGGCCCGCACAAGCGGUGGAGCAUGUGGUUUAAUUCGAAGCAACGCGAAGAACCUUACCAGGUCUUGACAUGCCGUGGACCUUCCUAAGAUUAAUGGUUCCCUUUGGGGGGUAACGCACACAGGUGGCACAUGGGUGUUCACAUCUUGUGUUGAGAGAUGGGGGUAAAUGUCCCGCAGAGAGCACACCCCGUCAUUUGAGUUCACCUCAUUUAGUUGGGCACUCUAAGGAGACUGCCGGUGACAAACCGGAGGAAGGUGGGGAUGACGUCAAAUCAUCAUGCCCCUUAUGACCUGGGCUACACACGUGCUACAAUGGUCGAUACAAAGGGUUGCCAAGUCGCGAGAGGGAGCUAAUCUGACAAAGUCGUUCUCAGUUCGGAUUGCAGUCUGCAACUCGCCUGCAUGAAGUCGGAAUCGCUAGUAAUCGCGGAUCAGCAUGUCGCGGUGAAUACGUUCCCGGGCCUUGUACACACCGCCCGUCACACCACGAGAGUUGGUAACACCAGAAGUACGGUGAUGGUAACCUUCUGGAGCCAAGGCGCCCAAGGUGGAUCAAUGGUAAA